rnacentral:rRNA from 1 species
GACGAACGCUGGCGGCGUGCUUAACACAUGCAAGUCGAACGGAAAGGCCCUGCUUUUGUGGGGUGCUCGAGUGGCGAACGGGUGAGUAACACGUGAGUAACCUGCCCUUGACUUUGGGAGAACUUCAGGAAACUGGGGCUAAUACCGGAUAGGAGCUCCUGCUGCAUGGUGGUGGUUGGAGAGUUUCGGCGGUGGGGGCUGGACUCGCGGCUUAUCAGCUUGUUGGGGGGGUAGUGGCUUACCAAGGCUUUGACGGGUAGCCGGCAUGAGAGGGUGACCGGCCACAAUGGUACUGAGAUACGGACCAGAAUCCUACGGGAGGCAGCAGUGGGGAAUAUUGCACAAUGGGCGGAAGCCUGAUGCAGCAACGCCCCGUGCGGGAUGACGGCCUUCGGGUUGUGAACCGCUUUCGCCUGUGACGAAGCGUGCGUGACGGUACUGGGUCAAGAAGCACCGGCUAACUACGUG